AAACUUUCAACAACGGAUCUCUUGGUUCUGGCAACGAUGAAGAACGCAGCGAAAUGCGAUAAGUAAUGUGAAUUGCAGAAUUCAGUGAAUCAUCGAAUCUUUGAACGCACAUUGCGCCCCCUGGUAUUCCGGGGGCACACCUGUUCGAGCGCCAUU
rnacentral:rRNA from 1 species